rnacentral:lncRNA from 1 species
CUUAUAGUGGUUAAUCGUGUAUAGGGUGUAAUGGUUGUACUUCAAACGCGACAUCAAAAUAUGCCAGUGGGAGAAAAACAAAUCAAAUCAUUGAAGUACAUUUCCGCACAUACAACAAGGGAAACUGCUGAAAAAAUAAAUAUGAAGGAAAUUCAACAAAUAAUAAGACAGAAUGAUGCAAACAGUGGACGUACUAGUUUUGCGUCAAGAGGUUAUCAUUGCCAACAAAAACUUUGAACUGUUUAGCCGCAUAUUCUAGAAUAAACGGGUUAUGCACAACCGGCGACACAAGGUUUCCUUCUU